GUGGGGAAUCUUGCGCAAUGGGCGAAAGCCUGACGCAGCCAUGCCGCGUGAAUGAUGAAGGUCUUAGGAUUGUAAAAUUCUUUCACCGGGGACGAUAAUGACGGUACCCGGAGAAGAAGCCCCGGCUAACUUCGUGCCAGCAGCCGCGGUAAUACGAAGGGGGCUAGCGUUGCUCGGAAUUACUGGGCGUAAAGGGCGCGUAGGCGGAUCGUUAGGUCAGGGGUGAAAUCCCAGAGCUCAACUCUGGAACUGCCCUUGAUACUGGCGAUCUUGAGUGUGAGAGAGGUAUGUGGAACUCCGAGUGUAGAGGUGAAAUUCGUAGAUAUUCGGAAGAACACCAGUGGCGAAGGCGACAUACUGGCUCAUUACUGACGCUGAGGCGCGAAAGCGUGGGGAGCAAACAGGAUUAGAAACCCCGGUAGUCC
rnacentral:rRNA from 1 species